rnacentral:rRNA from 1 species
AACGCUGGCGGCGUGCCUAACACAUGCAAGUCGAACGGAGAUUAGACGCUGAUGAGGCUUCGGCGGAUUCUUGUUUAAUCUUAGUGGCGGACGGGUGAGUAACGCGUGGGCAACCUGCCUCGUACUGGGGGAUAGCAGUUGGAAACGACUGAUAAUACCGCAUAAGCGCACAGAGUCGCAUGACUCAGUGUGAAAAACUCCGGUGGUACGAGAUGGGCCCGCGUCAGAUUAGCUAGUUGGUAAGGUAACGGCUUACCAAGGCGACGAUCUGUAGCCGGACUGAGAGGUCGGACGGCCACAUUGGGACUGAGACACGGCCCAAACUCCUACGGGAGGCAGCAGUGGGGGAUAUUGCACAAUGGGGGAAACCCUGAUGCAGCGACGCCGCGUGAGUGAAGAAGUAUUUCGGUAUGUAAAGCUCUAUCAGCAGGGUAGAAAGGCUCUAAGGAGAGAUGACGGUACCUGACUAAGAAGCCCCGGCUAACUACGUGCCAGCAGCAGC